rnacentral:antisense_RNA from 1 species
CUUUGGGAGGCUGAGGCAGGCAGAUCACCUAAGGCCAGGAAUUCGACACCAGCCUGGCCAACGUGGCAAAACCCGUCUCUACUAAAAAUACAAAAAUUAGCCGGGCGUGGUGGUGUGCGCCUGGAAUCCCAGCUACCCAGGAGGCUGAGGCAGGAGAAAAGCUGGAACCCGGGAGGCAGAGGCUGCAGUGAGCUGAGAUCAUGCCACUACUGCACUCCAGCCUGGGUGACACAGCAAGACUCCCUCUAAAAAAAGAAAAAAAGAAAAGAAAAGAAAAGAAAAUGAUAUAUCCAUGAUGGAUUAAAAUGGAGUGGAACCCACUGAUGGGAAAGCCACAGAAGGUACCAGUUAUCCACUCACUGACUUAGGUGCCUCCACUAGAAUUCUCAGCACGUUUUUGCAGAACCUGGGCAACAAGAGCGAAACCCCAUCUCAAAACAACAACAACAACAGCAGGACAACAGAGAUGGACGACGGAUCGGGAAAGCCAAUCAGAUAGCGUGAGGCCAGGACGGAAAGAGGCACAGGGAGCUCUGCUCAGUUUCGCUACAGGGGAUCUCUCAGGCUCACAAUGGGCCAGUCCUCUAGGGAAGUUCUGGUCUCAUCAUGAUCCUUCUUUGGUCUCACUCCCCAUGUCCUUCUCUGUCCCUCCUCCCACUGCCAUUUAUUUAUUUAACUGAAAAAGUACCAAUCACCCACAUAGGCAUAACAUACUCAUCCAUGUACCCAUUUCUUAAAAUUGGUCAUUGUUAACAUUUGGUGUAAUUUGCUUUAUUUAUUUUUAAUGAAAUAAAUAAAACUUUACAGAAAAUGCUUUAUUUUUCUCUUUGUUCCCUCCCCAUCCUAUCUUUUUCUCCUAAAAAACCCUAUUAUCAGAAAUAUUAGUGUGUAUUCCCAGUUUUGAUUUUUUAUUUUAUUACACACACACUCCCAUGCAUAGCUGUGACAAUGAACUUCACAUAGUAUGGUUCUGUAUUUUCUCUUUGUUUUUCAAACUUACAUAAGUAUUUUACUAUUUCUCAUGGAAAAACUCACUUUUCCCAUCCAACGUUACGUUUUCUUAAGAUCUCUCUAUGUUGAUAUAAAGAAAUCUAGUUCAUUCUUUUUAAUGAAAAUAAAGCAUAUUUUAUGAAUGUAACUCAUGCUAACCAUGGCAAUAAAAGCUCCAUCAAGCAUGCAUUUAGU